GGGAGAGCGGGCGGCGCUGCCAGCCCGAGGCCCCGCGCUCCGCCGCUCCGCAGCUCCGGGCCAGGCCCGCCCGCCCGCUCCCCGGGAUGGGCCGGCGGGGGCGGGGACGCUGGCCGUGAGCGCCCGGCCAGUCGGCCGGCGGCGCGCAGACCGGGGCGGAGGGAACUGGGCGCCGGGCGGGCGCGAGGGGGCGGCCACGGCGCCCCGGCCCGAGGCCUGGCGCAGAGCAGCGGGAGGCGGCGCAGGCCGCGGCGGGGCCUGCAGCGGCCGCCGACCCCGCAACGCGGGGGAGAGAGCCCUGGAGCGGCUCCGCCUCGGGCUCGGCUGCUGGGGGCGUCCCCUCAGCUACUUACCGGGGGAGAAGAGAGCCGGGAUCCCGGGACCCGGGGCUGGACCGCGGAGAUGCCCCAAACUGACACGGCCGCCAUCUUGGAGACAGUGCUGGACCUACAAACUCAAUAUCCUGAUACUGAGAUCGGUAACCCCUCAUCUAUUUCCAAAAUCAGAAGAGAAAUCUGGAGAUACAAGAUAAUUAUUAUAAAGGUUAUUUUCCACCCUUGGUGAAGCAGGCUUAAUGGAAACAUCCAGAAAUUCUUAGGAAAACAAGUUUCUUACUUCCCAAAGAGGACUUAUAAAAGCAUAUUAAUGAAACAAAUGGAGUUAUUUGUGUAACAUGAAGUAUAUAGUUUUCAAGAAAAACGAUAGAGAUGGGUCGUCAUUGCUUUUGAAUAAUUUGGACAAAAGCUAGCCGUCCCUGAGAAAGACUGAGCUGGAGCCUAUGCACCACAGGGGGAAUAUAGAACUCUUGCACUGGCAAAGCCUUUCAAAAAGCUUCCCACAGACUUUGUUUCCACGUUUACUUAACAAAAUGACACCUUGAGGUCUUCUCCAAAUAAAAAGUUUGCUACAAAAGAUUAAAAUACUUAUCUUUUACAAGUUAAAAAACAAAAAGCUCAACCUUUAGUUUUUCUUGUUGUUGUAACGGUUCAGUCUUACAAGGCUUACAGCUUCCAUAUUUUGCUCUAGGGAUCUCUGCUUUUCAGUAGUACUUAGUAAUACGUUUUGUGCAGGCUGAGUCCUCUCCAGCCUGAACUUGAAGAUUGCUUCAUCCAAGUUUCGAUGGGAAAACUUUUCAUCCAUUUUUAUUUAAUAUAAUUCCCGGUAUAGUUAAGUUUGUGCCUACUACCAUACUCUUUUAUUUUCUUUUGACAAAUCUACUUUAUGUCUCUUCUUGUCCUGUAUUGAAUUAAUAAAAUGUUUUAGUUUUACCACUAACCCUCUCCAUUACCUCAAGUGGGUUUUGGAAAUUACAGUAUUCCUCUUUGAUGUAGUAGAAUCUAAUGUAAAUUAUUACUUUGAGCAAUUUCCCAGAAAUGCUAAUACCUUAGAACACUUUGCCUUGUGAACUAAAAAUCUUCAAAGUAGCUACAUCUGUAUUAAAAAACAUGGCCUGAAGAUGUGGCGCAGUGGUAAAGUACUUGCCUAGCAUAGGCAAAGCACCCACCCCACCAAUCACCAAUAACAACAACAACAAAAAUCUCAUAGGCAGCUUAAGCUCACCUGACUAGAACAUCAGGGAUGUGGAGUGAUGGAAUGCAGUAGGUCAGCAGCCAAAAUUGUCUUGGGCUAUCUUCUACCCUUUAUCACGCAGUUACCUAAACUUUUGUAUCUGACCUACAUAUCUGAC
rnacentral:lncRNA from 1 species